UAAAAUUUUUUAAGUUUAUCCUUGAGUUGCUUCGUUUUGUUUGUGAUGUGUGAUGUGUUAAUCUCCUGUCCAGAGUCAUGCCCAAGUAUCUGUCCUUGUUAGAAACUGUUGUAUUGUUAAUGGAGACCUGCGGGCAGAUUUGUUUUCUCAGUGUAAAGGUUACACGUGUGGAUUUCAUCACUAGAGAGUGGAUGAAGCAAUUAUCGAGUCUGCGAGGGAAAUUAAUAGCGCAGUGUCGUCAGCAAAUAUUGUUAUAGUUAUCUCUGUUAAUAUUGGUAAAUCGGCAGUGUAGAUGGAAAAUAGCAGAAGUUCAAGGACACUGCCUUGCCACUAGAAAUGCCAGCUUGUAUUAGAAACGCCAGCUUCUAUUGGGAAUGUUAUGGUAGUGGCGUCUAAGUAUUUAACCAUGAAUUGGCUUUUGGUUAGGUAGGACUUUAGGAUGGGGUAGUAGGUGUGUGGUAGGAUUUUUUUAAGUUUGUAUAGAAGCCUUUCAUGCCAUACUUUGUCGAGUGCCUGUUGAAUGUCAAGAAAUACCGCUGAUCGAUAUUUUUUCUUUUCUAGGAUUUGGCUGAUAUUGUGUGUUAUGCGAUGGAUUUGCUCUAUUGUAGAAUGUUGUUUCCGAAAACCGAAUUGAUGAUCUGGCAGUGUUUUCGAAUCCUCUAGGAGUGGGAGAAGUUGUUUUGUUAGCAUCUUCUCGAAUAGUUUUGACAAGGCAGAUAGAAGACUAAUUGGGCGAUAUGAGGGACAUUUACGUUUGCUGUUAGAAGUCUUAAUAGGUGUGGAGGAGCGGAUAGCGUUUAUUAUGCUCGUGUUUAAGUAUUCCGUGGCUGUUUUAAUAUCUUCAUUAGUUUUUAGUGAAAUUAAGGCUGAAAUUGAGUGAUUGAAGACUUCUCUAAAGAGCUGCCAGUUGGUGAGUUGGGACUGUAAUGAUACCCGCAGUAUGUUUACAUUUCGAACCAGACGGUCAACUGUACUUUGUGAGACAGCCUCUCAAUUACUGUUGCAUUUUCAUGAAUUUUUUACGAAUUUUACGAAUUCAUAAAAAACGAUCACCGACUUAAAAAAUAUCAUUUUCUACUGUACCAUGCCAUUAAACACGAAGAAUUUGUUUUCGUAUCCAACGAAAUUUAUUAAAAUAUAAUAAUGAAUUCAUUAAAAUAUAAUUAAAGAAAAUGAUAUGGAUUAGUAUAAAUUAACCUCUCUAUUAGUAUGUCUGUAACUAGUAUUAAGAAUUCGAUAUGUAUCAUUAACAAAAUUUUUUAAAGCUCAAUAUCUCAUCAUAAUAUACAACAUAUAUUCCAGUAAUUUAUAGGCAAUGCAAGAACACUAAUGGAUAGAAGGAAUUAUAAACCACAGACGAGGUUCUGUAUUUCGACACAAUGCAUAAACACGGCAUACUGAAUUGAAAUAUAUUUUUAUCAAAUAAUUAUGAUUAUAAUGUAUAUUUUACAAUUAUAAUUGUAAAACAUGAUAGAUCGAAAUAGAUCGAGGCGCCUUAUUGCAGACAAGGCAACCAACGUCGUCCGAUCACUAAGAGUUAUACCUCUUUCCAUGCCUGUAUAUACGACCGUGAUAAACACUGGCGCAUUCAAAAUUCAUUGUAGUAAUAAGAACAAUUUUUGGCGAAUAUUUCAGAAACUAAGCGAGUCUACCGCUUAAUUAUAUAAGAAAAUGUUAUUCAAAAUGUUGAGCUUUACGACAUAUCCAAAAAUCAUCGAAAUCGGAGGAUAGUUAGCAUCUCUACAGUUUCCCCGUUUUUACUAACAUGUGUUAAUGUAAUAUGUAGCAAGAAUAAUUAACAAUUUAUACUUAUCCUAGUAUCACAAUUUAUUCAGUCUGCAUUACUUACUAGGUACUAGUAAAUAUGAAUAUAACCUAACUUAGGAAUUUUAAAAUUGCACAUUUGUUUUGUUUUACUGGUAGUUUAUUUUACGUUAAUUUUAGCUUAACCUGUCUUGACGUUGUUUUGGCCAUAUAAUUUUGUUUAUAUUUCAUCAAUUUAAUAUUGUCUUCUUUAUUGUGGGGACAAUGUGUGAUUUUGUUUGUGUGUAACUGCGUGUAUCUUUGUUGUGGCUUCCGUUUGUGUGUAAUUAUCUAAACACUGUCAUUCUUUACUUACUGACAUUUUGCUAUAUGUAUUUAUACGGUCAAUAUCUUAAUUUUUAAUGAUGUUUGUGUUUAGAAAUUGCAGGAGAGGUGUCAUCUCUUGUGGAGAAAUGAAUUACGAUUCUUUUUAUUUCCUAAUUAUUUCAUUUCGGUUGGUUGAAUAAAGUGGCUAUAAUGUGGUUUACAUGCUGGAUGUCUGUUUCACAUUCACACGUGUUAUUUUGACUGAAUUUUGAUUGAUAAUUCCUACGUUUGCUAAGUAGCCUGCUACUCGUUUCAUAUCUUGUUCCAGGCGGGGAUUUGCUGGAUAUCUUCACUGAUGAGUUCACUGGAAAUUGGAAACUCCUAUUUCAAAAUCUCACAAGAAUUCCUAUUAACUGAAUGACAGAUCAUAGAUACUGGGGCAGACACGUGGAGUGCUAUUAUGAAAACGACUUGGUUACAUGAACAAACUUGUCCCCUGAUAUAUUCAUAUCUAUGCUGUAUUGCAAAAUUACUUAUUAUGUACGAAAAAACAUUUCAUAUAAAAUUUUAAUGCAUUAUGUGUGCUCAUAGAUCGAAGUACUCGCAUUUUUGCACGUGUGUCCUGAAUGGCAUGAUCGUUAGGCGAGGUGCAGUAAGUGCACUGUCACCUGUUCCGUCCUCGACUUGCCCGUCCAGGAAUGUGCAAAUUCUACGAUUACAGGUAUCACAACGCAGUUACGAGGCGAGUCUGGUUUCAGAAAGGGGAUUUUCCGGUGUGUCCAGCAGAUAGGUAGAUAGGAGAGCAAUUAAGGAGAAAAGUGUCGGUAAAUUAAUUAGGUCGUGACCGUCGGUAACGCGAAUUCACAAGUUUCUUGCUACGAGUUAAGCACGUUUCGAAUAAGUCGCGCGUGUACGGCAGGUAUCUGUAAAAAGUAGGAAGAUAAUAGGCCGGAAUUCGUGGGAUAGUAAUACACGGUAACGAUGAACGAACGAGCGUCUAGAGUGAGUCGUGCAUACCAAUUAUUAUAUUUCUCUUUUCUUUCCUUUGGUACCAUAAAUAAAAGUGUAUUACUGUUCGUCGAAUUCAAUAUCUUUUCCUCUUCUAAAGUAUGCCUCUUACACCUUUCAGGUAAUUCAGAGUGUUCAGAACCUGUAUAGAUCCGAUAAAGAUCGGAUUCACGUUAAAAAUGAAGCUCGGUGUUUCUCGCUCGAGCCGUGUGGCGUCCUCGCUACCAUAAUUGCUCGUGCUCGCAUGUCACAUUAGGGGACAUAUAAAGAACAUAUGAAUCUAUCUAGCGAUAAAAAUUUUGGAUCAAACAUGAGCAUCACAAUUCUUACUGGUGGAAUCUAAUUCAGUAAUUAAGGUCGGGCCAAAAUUGUAUAUAUUAGGUUGUCCGAAAAGUGUCUUUCUUUUACAGGCCCGUCUUUUACAACGAUGCAUCUUUAUACAAACAUGAAACCUGAUCUGUCGAACGUUGUGAUCUUUAUUUUGAUAGAAUAAAAUGGAUCAUAUGUAAUUCGAUAAAAUAAUAUGAAACGGAAAAUGUUGUGCAUCCAUUAUUUUCUUAUAAAACAAAAGAAACUUCUCGGACGACCUAAUAUCAAAAAAGUGUAAGACUUUUUUUUCAGUUUAAUUUAUUAAUCUGUAUUCCUCUAUGUACAAGACUGCGCCUGCUAAAUAAUCCUUCCUAUGAUACAAGAUAGAGGUCCAUUUACUAGUAAAAUUGCAUCUCACCAUCAAACUCACUCAAUACAUUGCAAUCAAUUUUUUUAACCAUAAUAGAUUAAAAAAAGAGAGACAAAACGAAAGAACAAUUCAGAUUAUUAUUUACAAAAAUAAUUGAUCAAUUAUCGAUCGAUUAUUGGACAAUUCAUCUCCGCAUUUUUACAAAGGGAAAGAAAUACAAAUUCAAGAUAAUCAUUCUUUCUUUGUACUGUUUUCAAUCAAUAUAAUGAACAUAACCUGUGAAUUAGGCAAUAGUCAAUUCAUUAUUAAUUAUGUACAAGUGAUUAUUAUCGAAUAAAGAAUUAAGGAAGGGAUACAAAAAUUUUUCGUGGUUAUUUCAUAAUGACAACCCAUCAAUCAAUCGACAAAUACGGAAUGACUAAUUAAUUAAUCAUCGGUACUAAUUGUAAGGUCUUUUUGUUAAAGACCAACAGUAGUGACACAAUUAACUAAU